UAAAAUUGAUAGCAUAAUAAAUAAUAUUAAUUAGAACUUUUGAGGCCUAUUUAAGAUUCUAAACUUGUAAUAGUAGAGGCAAUAAAAAUCUUACUGAUUUUGAAAAACCUCUCUACACUUUCUCCAAUUUCCCAUAUUAUGCAUUUUCCCAUCUUUGUUCUCUUUUUCCGUAAAUCAAUAAAAAUUUAUCUAACAUAUUUCCAAUGCUAAUAUCGUCAUGGGAGGCAACAGUCUCUAAUAACUCAAAUUUGAUUCCGUAUAAGUGUGGCGGUUUAAUUGCAUUGAUUUGGAAGUUUAACAGAAGAGGAAGGCUCAUGUUCUGGAGUGAAUUCUUGAUUGGUUGAGGCAAGUAGAUUUGUAAACUCUAGUUAAGUGUAUGAAAUUUGUGUAUUUAUUUGUGGUAUAUGUGUGGGAGUAAUGGGACUUGGUGAUGGGUUUACUUGUCCACAUUGAUUAAUUCUAAUGAUGAAAACAAAGUGUAGUAAAAGGCAAUGUGAAUAAUUGCUUGUGAGAUGUGUUGAUAAUAAAGAAUGGUUUGAAAAGUUUGUUGAAUCAUUGUUGAUGUUGUUUUGAAUUGUGCAGUGUUAUGAAAGUUGUCAUAUCCUCUUUACAUGUGUGAACAUGUCAUUUGCAUUAUUGUAAGACAUGGUUGUGAAAGUGUUAUGUGUAUUGAGAAAGAAUGACAACUUAAAAAUGAUGUACUAUUUCGAGAGACGCAUCGCGCGCCGUGAUGGUUACUAUUAUUGAGGGUCGUGUUGUAAGCCACGACAGAUGCAUGGACAGAUAUUUUCCCCAUGGGUCUCGGACUGACAGACAGCGGGUGUGUAUCACUAGGUCAGACAUGCAUCAUUAUACUUGACAUUGUAUUCCAUUGCAUUACACAUAUUUAUCAUUAGUGAACUUGAUAUCGUGUUUUUUUGAUCUUCUAAUUAUCUUUCUGUGGAACUUGUGAUUGAUCAAUAUUGAGCUUGUAAUUGCGGAUAUAUAAUUUGUUGAAGUAUUGUUGUUGAGGAUAUGUAAUUUGUUGAAGUGUUGUUGUUGAGGAUAUGUAAUUUGUCUAAGUGAUGUUGUUGAGCUACGUGCUAUGUAAACUGUGAGUUGUUAGGCUGGGUUGAUUUUUAAUGCAGGUUGUAGUUGCGGAGGUUCGGUUGGGGGUGGUAGGAGUACCACUAUUUCAUCCCCUUUGCUUGUGAUUAGAGGUUUACUUGUUGAGUACCGUGUGGUUUGGUACUCACCCCUUGCUUCUACAAAUUUUUGUUGGUUAUGAGACUGAAUUUUUGUUAUACUUGUCAUUCUCUUCUUUUCUGAGGCUUCUUGGAGAUUUGUGAGGUAGUUGUUUCCGUCCCAUCAGACUUUCUUCUCCAUAAUUAUGAUCUUGUUCUAUUCUAGAAACAAGUUGAUUUGAGACUUGUGUUUUUCUUUUGAAUCAAUUGUAAUACUUUAGAGGCUUUUACACGUGACUACUAGAUUUUCGGGGUAUAAUGUAAGUUGAUAGUAAAUUUUCCGCAUUUUUAUUGAAAUAGUUGAGUUUUAGGAUGACUUGUCUUUAUGGGAUAAGACGAGUACCAUCAUGUCCAUUUUAGGUCGUGAAAAAAAUUGUAUCAGAGCCCCAUGUUCAUAAGUAUCACGUGUAUACAAGUCGAGUCUAACUAGAGUCUUGAGGAUAGGUAUGGAGACGUCUAUACUUAUCUUCGAGAGGCUAUAAUGACAUUUAGGAAAAAUAACUCCACUUCUUGAAUCUCUCUCGUGCAUCAUUGUCCGUUCUGAUUCUUAUUGCGUUAUUUCAUUAUCUCUCACCUAUUUUGAUGAGUCGUGUGUGGUUCCUUAAGUUUGAAGUUGGUGUUUCCUAUAUGGUUUGGAGGUUAGACCUGAUAAUAAGAUGAAAAAGAUGCGUGAUCAGAUUUGAAAUGUUCAAUUUGAAACAAUUGAAUUAGGUGAUGCCUUGGCGAUGAUUUUCGUAGAAUUUCUAAAUGGUGAGGUUGAACAAUGGUCUGAUGAACUUCAUGAAUGUGUUAUCCUCUUCAGGUUAGUUUACCCAACUGAGGGAAUAAUAGUUAGUGGUAUAGAUAAUAUCUGGAGUGGUUUGACAAGUUGAAAUGGAAUGAUUAAAAUGAUGGCUUGAUAACAAAUAGUAUAACCUUGGAAAAUACAAUUGGCAUAGUUGUCAUAACAUAUAUGGAUUUCUUAGAGAAUAAUGUUGCAUUAAUCAAGGUUAGAGUCUUUCAUAGAUUGAGUGUAUAUAAAAAAGGUUGAUAGUACGACUACUAUACUAGUACCGAUUCUUACUUGUUUCGAGUUAGAGAAUGUGUACUCUUAUUAUUGACCUGAGCUACGAAGGAAUGCAUAUAGUGUUGGAAAACAAAUCAAAUAAAUUUGAUAGUGUAUGUUAGUUCCUUAAUGGGGCAGAAAUGUGUAGGCUAUUUGGGUACAAUAUUCUCCAUAGUUAUAAGGUUUUGUAGUAAUGGAUUUAACAAACUUAACAAUGUGGUACUAGUGGCUUAUGGAAAUGAAUAAAGUGAUGUCAAGUGUGAGUACUAACUAAUUAAAGAGUUAUCAAUAGUAUCACAUGCUCGUAUAAUGAUAUUCGAUGUUGUAUUCACAUUUGAGAAACCAACUAACUUGUAACUACAGACAAAUAAGUCAAGCAUUGUUUGUAAGGGGAAUUUUUAGUGGUGGAUUUUCGAUUUCAUAUUAAUGUGUUUAGGUUGUUGAGUGUAUCUUGAGAUAUUUAACAAAGGACAAGUGAUUUCAUCAUAAGCUCCAAUUUAAUGAAUUAAUGUUGAAAUGCCAAGCUUGUGGGUAAAGGAAGUCCUAACGUGUAUAAUUGUGUGAAGGCAAUUGAGAAUUUUAGUAAGAAAUUAUAUAAGAUUGAAUUAGAUUGAAUUAGAUUGGUAUAGAUGGGUUUGAAAUGUCAUGAACCUUAAAAGGUUGACUCUGAGAUGAGAAAAAUGUCUAAUGAGCAUAACGAUAUUAAGAAUUUGUAAUGAAAUAGUAAUUCAGAUGCAACUAUAUGAUAAAGAUUGUUGGUUAAACAAAUUUUGUAUGGUAAUAACUACUUGAAAGUAUCUAAUAUAGUAGUUUCCACUAUUUGAUGAGUAAUGUUGUUGUAUAGAGAGUCUAAGAAUAUGUAGAGACACUGCUCGCAUUAAAUUUGAAGCAUCUACAGUCAUACUGAAAAAAGUGUGGAAUGUAGUGGAGCCUUCAGAAAGUGGUGAGAGUAAGUUUAUUUUUUUCUUAUUGCAAAGUCUAAAGGGGUGUCUUCAAAUGGAUUGAGAACUGGGUUUAGAGACAUGUCAUUUAUUUCAAUUUGCUUUGGUUAUGAUAAUAAUGUCACAGGUUUAUCAAAUUGGUUAAAAACUACUGGAUAAGACUUGAGAAAGGAGUGUAUAUACGUUCAACUCGAGUGUGAUUAUAAAUUCUAUUGUGAUCUUGAGUUUGAUAAUUAGUAUAAUGGUUCAAUUUUUACCGAAGGAUAUGAUAAGAUCGAUAGAAAGGCAAAAUGAAAAGGUAAUACAAAUGAAUUCAUAAGAAUCUUCGAGGUAUGUGUUAAUGUUAAUAAUGAUGGGAUUGUGAUACAUGGUUGGCAAUUUUUUUUUUAGAUUUUCAUUGUGAGUUAUAAUUCUGGUAGUGUUAUUUUUCAAUGUAUGGAUUGGUAAGGUAAUAAAUGUCGAUCACAGUGAGUAUAAAGCACUUGGCAAGACUUAAAAGUAUUGGAUUAGUAAAUUUUGUUACUUUUCAUUGUUAUACUUAACGGGGGUUUCAAUAUAUCUGUAACGACCUAUUUAGUCAUUUUGAGCAGUAGAGUAUUUCUGGUAAUAAUUGUCUGAGUCGACGGAUCCCACGAUGGACCGUCAUGGCCACGACGGACUAUCGAGGGUGUCUACUUCCAAAACACUUAGAAUUCUUAAAUUUGGGUAAUCAGAUAGACUUUCUGAACUUCACGAGGAAAAUGGCAGG